rnacentral:tRNA from 1 species
GCUUUCAUGGUGUAAUGGUCAGUACGCUAGGUGCGUAACCGAGAGGUCUGUGGUUCGAUUCCCGGCGAAGGCG